GUCUGUCCCUCCUGAAGGGCCUGUAACCAUCAAACGGGGCACUCCAGUCACAGGUCUCAUCCCACAAAGUCUCACUUACGCCAAUCUCUGGGACUGGGCCAAAGCUUCAAGCUCCUAUUGUUAGUUCCCCAUACAAUGUGCAUUGGUGUAGAAGCAUUUCAGAUGUGAUACAUUGUAGCCAAUACCUAGUGAAGCAGAUUGAUGGAUCCCAUUAGUGCUCCUUUCCUAAAGUUUUGGCACACCAUCCCAUUGCUCAUCACUGAGCCUCAUACCUGUUGUAGAAGCUACCAGUUCUACCUGUCAAAUUUUGAGAAGAAGGAGGAACCUUCCUCCUGGUACAUGCAGUGACCAGCUUUCAGCCUUCAUCUUUAACAGACCCUCGACUAAGAUUUCUUUGACUAAUUUCCCUGUAGGGUUCUGUCUUCACCUGAUUCUCCACUACGAUGUAGGUUUGAGACUCUCAAGAGUUGUGAGACUGUACCAUCUCUGAAAAUAAUUUUUGUAUCUUUCUCGUUCGCUUGAAUACUAUGUAGCCUGUUCACACCUUCCCAUAGCUCCUUCCCCUGAUGACACAGCUCUUCAACCACGACACACCUGCAAAAUAACUGUCAGUCCCAGCCUCACAGAGAGUCAUCAGGCACUCCUGGCAAGUAUUUGCCAUUAUCCUUCAAAGUUAACAUACAAUUUUACUUUACUCUUAGAAUGACCAAGCCAUGUUUUCAGAUAUGUCUGUGCUCAAAAAAUAAAUUUAAAUGGAAGCAAAAGCUGA